AGUGAACGCUGGCGGUAGGCCUAACACAUGCAAGUCGAACGGCAGCACAGGAGAGCUUGCUCUCUGGGUGGCGAGUGGCGGACGGGUGAGGAAUACAUCGGAAUCCACCUUUUCGUGGGGGAUAACGUAGGGAAACUUACGCUAAUACCGCAUACGACCUACGGGUGAAAGUGGGGGACCGCAAGGCCUCACGCGAUUAG
rnacentral:rRNA from 1 species